GGCGGCUUAGCUCAUUCUGGUCUAGAGCGCCCGUCUCAUAAGCGGGAGGUACUGGGUUCGAAUCCCAGAGCCGCCA
rnacentral:tRNA from 1 species